rnacentral:ncRNA from 1 species
UUAACGGAGAGUUUGAUCCUGGCUCAGGACGAACGCUGGCGGCGGGCCUAACACAUGCAAGUCGAACGAACUCGACCUUCGGGUCAUAGAGUGAGUGGCGAACGGGUGAGUAACACGUGAGAAACCUGCCCCGAAGACUGGAACAACCCGAGGAAACUCGGGCUAAUACCGGAUAUCCCCAUCGGAUCGCAUGAUCUGGUGAGGAAAUGCUCCGGCGCUUCGGGAGGGUCUCGCGGCCUAUCAGCUAGUUGGUGAGGUAACGGCUCACCAAGGCAACGACGGGUAGCUGGUCUGAGAG